rnacentral:lncRNA from 1 species
CCCCGGCCCUGCUGGCGUCCAGGGCGUUGGACCGGCCUGAGCGCGGCGCGCGGUGGCGGCUCUGCGUCGACGACGCACGCUUCCUCCGCCGUGGGGCUUCGCACCUGUGUCCCGGGACCUGGAAGGAUAAAGCCGCUGUUUACUGCGUGCUCGUGAGGCGCGCGGUGUGCCACAGGCGGCGUUUCUCCUUCGCCGAAGGUCUGCGGCUCCUACAACCUCGAAUUGUUUGGCGUGCCAAAUCCGUUAUCUUCCUAAUCUGCCCAGAUUUAACUGAAGUAGAAACUGAGUGGAUGACAGGAGACACCAGACUGCAAGAAAACGUUUCCUUCUAGAGGAGGCACCCAGGUGUUAGUUCAAGUGGCAGUGACUGCUUUAAAUUGGCUUCCUCAGCAGUAGGGCGAGAAAUGCCGGAAAUUGGGCAGCUUCCCGAGAAAUAUGAUUUAAGGGACACGAAAAACCAUCUCUGUCCAAAAUUGCCUAACCCGAAAUUUCCAACUUCAAGUAAUGAAAUAGAUAAAAAGAAACACGGAAAACAGAAUAAGGGAGAAAAAUCUAGAGAAGAGGAAAGUCAAGGCUACAGCCAGAAGCUUGAAAACCUGCUUCGGGGUUGUACUGCUACUGUGGAAGAAGAGGGAACUUUCAAAAAACGGGAUCAAGGACCAGCCCGUUAAAAAAGUUUCUGUUGUUGCCUACGACAGUCUUCCUAAUGGUAUAAAUGCCUUGGAAACGAUUCCAUCUACAACUAAAAGGUAGGAAUAAAUA